rnacentral:rRNA from 1 species
AUGAUUUUCCUACGGUCUAGUUCUAUACGAAUACUGAUGGGGGAUAGGGUCAAAAUUGAAGUAAGUCGUUAUGAUUCAAGCAAGGGACGUAUAAUUUAUAGACUUCCCCAUAAGGAUUCGAAGCGUAUCGAAGACUCGAAGGAUAGCGAAGAUUUGAAGGAUAGCAAAGAUUUGAAGGAUACCAAAGAUUCAAAGGAUUAG